ensembl:snRNA U5 U5 spliceosomal RNA
AUACUCUGGUUUCUCUUCAGAUUGUAUAAAUCUUUUGCCUUGUACUAAAGAUUUCUAUGGAAAAGAACAAGCACAAGUGUCAUGGAAUUUUUUGAGGCAUUUAUACAAACU